AAAGCCUUGCUGAAGUCAAGGUAGACAACAUCCAUGGCUCUCCCCUCCUCCAUCCAGUAAGUCAUCCCAUCCUAGAAGGCUAUUAGUGAUGACCACCAG